rnacentral:rRNA from 1 species
AAGACCCCAAUGCGUCGCGGAUGCGGCGUCUC